rnacentral:rRNA from 1 species
GCUACCAUGCAGUCGAACGAGAAAGUUUUCUUCGGAAAGCGAGUAGAGUGGCGCACGGGUGAGUAACGCGUAGGUAAUCUACCCUUAUACCUGGGAUAACAUUGGGAAACUGGUGCUAAUACCGGAUACACUUCUUUGCUGCGGGGCGAAGGAGGAAAGGUGGCCUCUUCAUGAAAGCUACCGUAUAGGGAUGAGCCUGCGUACCAUUAGCUAGUAGGUAGGGUAACGGCCUACCUAGGCCACGAUGGUUAGCGGGUCUGAGAGGAUGAUCCGCCACACUGGAACUGGAACACGGACCAGACUCCUACGGGAGGCAGCAGUGAGGAAUAUUGCGCAAUGGGGGAAACCCUGACGCAGCGACGCCGCGUGAGUGAGGAAGGUCUUCGGAUCGUAAAGCUCUGUCAGAAGGGAAGAAGUGUUAGGUGGUUAAUACCCAUUUAAUUUGACGGUACCUUCAGAGGAAGCACCGGCUAACUCCGUGCCAGCAGCCGCGGUAAUACGGAGGGUGCUAGCGUUGUUCGGAAUUACUGGGCGUAAAGGGCGCGUAGGCGGCUGGAUAAGUCAGAUGUGAAAGCCCACGGCUCAACUGUGGAAGUGCAUUUGAAACUGUCCGGCUUGAGUAUCGGAGGGGAGUGUGGAAUUCCCGGUGUAGAGGUGAAAUUCGUAGAGAUCGG